rnacentral:rRNA from 1 species
GAUGAACGCUAGCUACAGGCUUAACACAUGCAAGUCGAGGGGAAACGACAUCGAAAGCUUGCUUUUGAUGGGCGUCGACCGGCGCACGGGUGAGUAACGCGUAUCCAACCUGCCCACCACUUGGGGAUAACCUUGCGAAAGUAAGACUAAUACCCAAUGACGUCUCUAGAAGACAUCUGAAAGAGAUUAAAGAUUUAUCGGUGAUGGAUGGGGAUGCGUCUGAUUAGCUUGUUGGCGGGGUAACGGCCCACCAAGGCGACGAUCAGUAGGGGUUCUGAGAGGAAGGUCCCCCACAUUGGAACUGAUGCACGGUCCAAACUCCUACGGGAGGCAGCAGCGAGGAAUAUUGGUCAAUGGGCGAGAGCCUGAACCCGCCAAGUAGCGUGCAGGAUGACGGCCCUAUGGGUUGUAAACUGCUUUUAUAAGGGAAUAAAGUGAGUCUCGUGAGACUUUUUGCAUGUACCUUAUGAAUAAGGACCGGCUAAUUCCGUGCCAGCAGCCGCCGUAA